AUUGAACGCUGGCGGAAUGCUUUACACGUGCAAGUCGAGCGGCAGCACGGGGGCAACCCUGGUGGCGAGCGGCGAACGGGUGAGUAAUACAUCGGAACAUGCCCAGUCGUGGGGGAUAACACUUCGAAAGAAGUGCUAAUACCGCAUACGUCCUGAGGGAGAAAGCGGGGGAUCUUCGGACCUCGCGCGAUCGGAGUGGCCGAUGUCAGAUUAGCUAGUUGGUGGGGUAAGGGCCUACCAAGGCAACGAUCUGUAGCUGGUAUGAGAGGAUGAUCGGCCACACUGGGACUGAGACACGGCCCAGACUCCUACGGGAGGCAGCAGUGGGGAAUUUUGGACAAUGGGGGCAACCCUGAUCCAGACAUUCCGCGUGAGUGAAGAAGGCCUUCGGGUUGUAAAGCUCUUUCGGCAGGAACGAAACGGCGAGCUCUAACAUAGCUUGCUAAUGACGGUACCUGAAGAAGAAGCACCGGCUAACUACGUGCCAGCCGCCGCCGUAACAC
rnacentral:rRNA from 1 species